UACGAAGGGGGCUAGCGUUGUUCGGAAUUACUGGGCGUAAAGGGCGCGCAGGCGGCCCCUCCAAGUCAGGUGUGAAAGCCCCGGGCUCAACCCGGGAAUUGCACUUGAGACUGGGGGGCUUGAGUUCGGGAGAGGAGAGUGGAAUUCCCAGUGUAGAGGUGAAAUUCGUAGAUAUUGGGAAGAACACCGGUGGCGAAGGCGGCUCUCUGGACCGACACCUGACGCUGAAGGCGCGAAAGCGUGGGGGAGCAAAACAGGAUA
rnacentral:rRNA from 1 species